rnacentral:miRNA from 1 species
GCUCGAACUCAAGUCUGAACGA